GAGAAUGCCGGUGUGAGUAGCGAAAGACGGGUGAGAAUCCCGUCCACCGAUUGACUAAGGUUUCCAGAGGAAGGCUCGUCCGCUCUGGGUUAGUCGGGUCCUAAGCUGAGGCCGACAGGCGUAGGCGAUGGAUAACAGGUUGAUAUUCCUGUACCACCUAUAAUCGUUUUAAUCGAUGGGGGGACGCAGUAGGAUAGGCGAAGCGUGCGAUUGGAUUGCACGUCUAAGCAGUAAGGCUGAGUAUUAGGCAAAUCCGGUACUCGUUAAGGCUGAGCUGUGAUGGGGAGAAGACAUUGUGUCUUCGAGUCGUUGAUUUCACACUGCCGAGAAAAGCCUCUAGAUAGAAAAUAGGUGCCCGUACCGCAAACCGACACAGGUAGUCAAGAUGAGAAUUCUAAGGUGAGCGAGCGAACUCUCGUUAAGGAACUCGGCAAAAUGACCCCGUAACUUCGGGAGAAGGGGUGCUCUUUAGGGUUAACGCCCAGAAGAGCCGCAGUGAAUAGGCCCAAGCGACUGUUUAUCAAAAACACAGGUCUCUGCUAAACCGUAAGGUGAUGUAUAGGGGCUGACGCCUGCCCGGUGCUGGAAGGUUAAGAGGAGUGGUUAGCUUCUGCGAAGCUACGAAUCGAAGCCCCAGUAAACGGCGGCCGUAACUAUAACGGUCCUAAGGUAGCGAAAUUCCUUGUCGGGUAAGUUCCGACCCGCACGAAAGGCGUAACGAUUUGGGCACUGUCUCAACGAGAGACUCGGUGAAAUCAUAGUACCUGUGAAGAUGCAGGUUACCCGCGACAGGACGGAAAGACCCCGUGGAGCUUUACUGUAGCCUGAUAUUGAAAUUCGGCACAGCUUGUACAGGAUAGGUAGGAGCCUUUGAAACGUGAGCGCUAGCUUACGUGGAGGCGCUGGUGGGAUACUACCCUAGCUGUGUUGGCUUUCUAACCCGCACCACUUAUCGUGGUGGGAGACAGUGUCAGGCGGGCAGUUUGACUGGGGCGGUCGCCUCCUAAAAGGUAACGGAGGCGCUCAAAGGUUCCCUCAGAAUGGUUGGAAAUCAUUCAUAGAGUGUAAAGGC
rnacentral:rRNA from 1 species